rnacentral:rRNA from 1 species
UGGAGUGGGGAAUAACUGAGGGAAACCUUAGCUAAUACCGCAUAAUACCUACGGGUCAAAGGAGCAAUUCGCUUCAGGAGGGGGUCGCGGCCGAUUAGUUAGUUGGCGGGGUAAUGGCCCACCAAGACAGUGAUCGGUAUCCGGCCUGAGAGGGCGCACGGACACACUGGAACUGAAACACGGUCCAGACUCCUACGGGAGGCAGCAGUGGGGAAUUUUGCGCAAUGGGGGAAACCCUGACGCAGCAACGCCGCGUGGAGGAUGAAAUCCCUUGGGAUGUAAACUCCUUUCGAUCGGGACGAUUAUGACGGUACCGGAAGAAGAAGCCCCGGCUAACUUCGUGCCAGCAGCCGCGGUAAUACGAGGGGGGCAAGCGUUGUUCGGAAUUAUUGGGCGUAAAGGGAGCGUAGGCGGUUUUGUAAGUCGUGUGUGAAAUCUUCGGGCUCAACUCGAAGUCUGCACACGAAACUGCAGGGCUUGAGUAUGGGAGAGGUGAGUGGAAUUCCUGGUGUAGCGGUGAAAUGCGUAGAUAUCAGGAGGAACACCUGUGGCGAAAGCGGCUUCACUGGACCAUUACUGACGCU